ensembl:lncRNA
CAGAAUAAUGUCAACAUCAUAAAUCCAUGGACAUCAGCUUGUUCAGGCUGCUGCUGGUGGUGUAAUGAUCCCAUUUUGGAGGUGGUAGAACAAGACAUUCAAAGUGCAACUGACAAAUCUGCAGCAAUUAUGUGAUGCAAUUAUGCUAACAUGUAUACCAGAAUAUAAGAGGGAUGUUUCCAACACUUUGUGGAAUCCAUGCCAUGAAGAAUUGACACUGUUCUAAUGCAAAGACUGUUCUCUUUAAAGCUGCUGCCCUCACCAGCACUUCCUUUCUGCAAGGUCAGCAUUUCAAGUAGAAACACAGCCAAACAAAAUGACUCUGACACAGUUGAAGAUUGGGGUCAAAGAAGAGGAUCGGUCUGCUCUAGCUGAGGCCCAUGGACAGAGAUCAUGUCAUUUAUACAUCUACCUUGUGCUGAGGACACCAUUUUUUGAUUUGAGCCACUUCCCUUCAGGAAAUGUGAAAGGAAACAAGCUGCCCUGGACCAGUUGUACUCCAAAGAUAAGUUUCCUGUUUUUCUAAUAUUUAGGAAUGCUCUUUAGACACCUCUUCACUGUUCUCACACGUGGCUGUUUGUUUUAAAUAUAUUUUGAGAG